rnacentral:rRNA from 1 species
UACGUAGGGGGCGAGCGUUGUCCGGAUUUACUGGGCGUAAAGCGCACGCAGGCGGUUUGGCAAGUUUGGAGUGACAGCAUUGGGCUCAACCCAGUGAGGACUCCGAAAACUGUCGAACUUGAGGACCAGAGAGGGACAUAGAAUUCCGGGUGGAGUGGUGAAAUGCGUAGAUAUCCGGAGGAAUACCGAAGGCGAAGGCAGUGUCCUGGCUGGUUACUGACGCUCAGGUGCGAAAGCGAGGGGAGCGAACAGG